UUGUUUGUGUUACGGCUGAGAUUUUUAGAGAGAUGAACAAAAUUGGAAAAAAUAUAAACCCUAGAUUCAUACCUGAUUGUUGUUUGCAGAGAGCGAUGGUGGUGCUGAGAUGGUUAAGGAGCAGCGGAAGAGACGCGAAAUCGGAAGAACUAGGUCGCGACGAGAGAGAGAUGGACACGGGAGGGGUUUUUUUGCACGGAGCGAUGGUGAGGCAGAGUGUUAUGUUUUGUCUGAUAAGUUGAAGUGAAGAGACAGAAAAAAUAAGAGGACAUUAUAUAGGUAAGCAAAGUAUGUAAGGAUUAGGGUAAGCCCCUGAUCCGGACUCUCUCUCUCUAUAUAUAUUUGUUAUUACCUUUAGUUUUGGAUCAACAAGGCCUAAGCAGAUUUUAAUUUUUACAGCAGUUAUAAAACUGGUGGAAAGAAACCAAGUGCAAGGGAUUAUGGGA
rnacentral:lncRNA from 1 species